rnacentral:lncRNA from 1 species
AUGUCAACAAUAUCAAUAGGGGGCCUCUAUGGCCCUGGGCAGAUUCUGAUGACACACACACACGCCCCUAAACGAGUGCAGACUAUUUACUCUUCUUGUCAUUUAGUCUUUCACACUGAUGUGUGUGUGUGUGUGUGUGUGUGUGUGUGUGUGUGUGAGACGUGCUCACAUUUGUGUGAGGAACUCGUUGCCCCCAUGGGGUCCAUUUAUGACAUCAUGCUGAUGUCAGCACAUCCCAGGGCUCUCUGCAGUGUUCUGUAUAGUCAGUGUGUAACUCAGCACAUCCCAGGGCUCUCUGCAGUGUUCUGUAUAGUCAGUGUGUAACUCAGCACAUCCCAGGGCUCUCUGCAGUGUUCUGUAUAGUCAGUGUGUAACUCAGACACAUCCCAGGGCUCUCUGCAGUUGUUCUGUAUAGUCAGUGUGUAACUCAGCACAUCCCGGGCUCUCUGCAGUGUUCUGUAUAGUCAGUGUGUAACUCAGCACAUCCCAGGGCUCUCUGCAGUGUUCUGUAUAGUCAGUGUGUAACUCGCACAUCCCGGGCUCUCUGCAGUGUUCUGUAUAGUCAGUGUGUAACUCAGCACAUCCAGGGCUCUCUGCAGUGUUUCUGUAUAGUCAGUGUGUAACUCAGCACAUCCCAGGGCUUCUGCAGUUUCUGUAUAGUCAGUGUGUACUCAGCACAUCCCAGGGCUCCUCUGCAGUGUUCUGUAUAGUCAGUGUGUAACUCAGCACAUCCCAGGGCUCUCUGCAGUGUUCUGUAUAGUCAGUGUGUAACUCAGCACAUUUCACUGCCCUGAAAAAACAUAACAACAACGCCACAUCACAAUGACUUUGCGGAGACAAUGGAACCACCAACCAAACACAUCUACAGGUCGAAAUGGAACAACAAAACAACCUUUUAACCACAGAAAUUGAACACUAGUUAUAUUGCUGUGGUCUGAUGGGCAAUGUCCUUUCUAGUAAUUCUGUGUCUAUGCGUUUAACCUUAUCUUGCACUGAUAACACAUCUGUGACGCAAUGGCAUCAUGAUUCAAAGAUAAUAUCGUGGCGCCAAGCAUAUUACAUACUGGCACUACCUAGCCUUAGUACCUGUAUGUUUGUUUUACUACAACAGAUACAAACUACCUAUCAAACACCUGUCUAUCAAGUACCUGUCUAUCAACACCUGAACAGCAAUAAGUCCAACUGACCUGUGUUGGUAUGCCACUGAGAGAACAUUCUGGAAUGGCAGUGUGCAAUAUGUAUGGUGUAUGUUGCUGUAUGAGAUGAGUUCAAUGUGUAUGACAUGGGUAAUAUUCAAUGUAGGGUAGGUAUUAUGUUGAGGAUGUAAUGUACAGUGUUUAUCAUGUAUACAGCAGUACUGUGUGUCUAAGACAAUUUKACAGUUUAUCCUAUACUAGCAGCCAUGCUAGACAACCUAGUCACGUCGGACUAGUCCAUAGAGCGAUGGGCAGUGUGUAUUAGCGGUAGAACACAGCCAAUAAGGAAGGCCUUUUGCAUUGUUAGCGUUCUGUUGAAGAUCAUCUGGGGAUUCAGACAUUCAGUCAGUGAAGAACAUGACAAAGCACACUCUGUCUGCAUAUUGUAUCUGUUUCCUUCCCUUUCUCCUCUCCCUCCCUGGUCUCUCUGUUUCUUUCUCUCUCCCGCUGGUAUCUGUCCAUCUCUUUCUCUCCUCUGACUCUCUCUCUCCCUGGUCUCUCUCUCUCUCUCUGUUGCUCUCCGCUCUCUCUCUCCAUCCCACAUACAGGGGCACAGGGUUCAACUGUAUCRUACUUUUUCAUCAACUUUCUCAAGCAUGAUAAAUGUUUGUCGGUAGGGAAGCAUACCAGAACGAGGGAGUGAUUUAUUAUCUUUGACGUGCAUGAAGAGAUCAAAUACAUACAUCACGCAAAAGAGGUUUGCAGAAUAUGACUGAGUGGGAAAGACGUUAUACGUGUACAUGAUUAAGACAGAACCUAGAACAGACUGCAUGCUCAACUCACAUAGUAUUUUAAUGAUUGAAAAACAAUGGCUCCAAUGUAUCAAAGAUGAUCUUUAGAUUUUAACCCUGAAAAUGACUGUUCAGUCCAAAACUUACAACUAAGUGCAGAAUAGGAGGCCAAAAGGUGAAAGUGAGGAUAAAUAGUGUUUUCCUCAUUCCACACACACACACACACACACACACACCACUAGAUAUCCCAAAGAACUGUGACAGGCACUGUUAACUGUAAAGCAAUCCGUUUCCAUGAGUACAUGCUCUCCAAACACAAACAUCUUUAGAGUAGAGUAAAACCAGUCAAGAUUAAUCUUAAAACUCUGAUUACAUUUGGAGAUUUUUUACAGUUCCAUUUAAACCAAAAUGGUAAUUACACUUCACUGGUUGAAUGCUGAUGACUUCACGUGGGCGAUCCAGCUAAAGUGCAAGAGAUCCAUCAUAGUUUGAGUUUAAGUUACAAAACUAUAAAUCAAUCAACCUCGAGAGCGYUCAGGAARGCCUUAGGUGGAGAAUCUCUAUACACUCACUGACCUACUAAGCCUUAGGUGGAGAAUCUCUAUACACUCACUGACCUACUAAGAAAACAGAGGGUCUAUUCAGUCCAAUCCUAACAUGUAAGAUAAAGCUCAGCUCCUCUAACAGGGGGACAUGCUCACCUGAAACAGACGAUUUAACAUCAACCUCACUCAUACAACUCCCACUGGUUGCUUGGGACAGACGCGAGUUGAAACCCGCUCCUCCGUUAACGAGGACAGGUGUAAAACAACAGAAAACCAGCGAUAGCUAUUCACAUCCCAGGUAGAGGACCCCAGACAACACUCCUACAGCACAUUCCCUGAAACCAUCCAAUGAAUCCAAGGUCAUAGGGAAACAGAAUAUACCACAAGGCUUUCCACCGUUCCACCCUCAAUAUGCAAACCAGCUAAGUUAGGUCCUAUCCUCACCCUCAGUAAGGAAACCAGGUAAAUUAGGUCCUGUCCUCACCCUCAGUAAGGAAACCAGGUAAGGUAGGUCCUGUCCUCACCCUCAGUAGGGAAACCAGGUAAGGUAGGUCCUGUCCUCACUAGAGCUGUUGAUGUAAUGUUGACUGUGGGAAACAAACAGGCGUGACAGUCCCUCCAUUCAGUAGGCAGGCUCUCUCUCCCUGUCUUUGUUUGACAUUCUUUAAAGGGUCACACCCAGCUCCGGCACAAUUGGACAGGAGUUUUUUCCUUCCCCUCCAGGUACGUUGUCGUAGAGGGACAAUAAUGGAGAAGUGUCACGAUGCAACACACACACACAGAGAGAUAAACAGACAGACACACACACAGAGAGAGAUAAACAGACAGACACACACACACACACAGAGAUAAACAGACAGACACACACACACAGAGAGAGAUAAACAGACAGACACACACACACACAGAGAGAUGAGACAGACACACGACCAGCCCCGCUACCUGCAGUCAGAGGUGCCCUCCGGUGAUAAUCUGUGGCUUGUUUGCAUUGUUCUCCAGAUAACGCAGACAGGAGAAUAGGAGCAACUCCUCCACACAAUAGUCCCUCUAGUAAAACAUAGAACGAGGUGAAAACAGAAGUAAGGAGAUCAACAGAGACAGGUGGGAAAAAUAGUGACGUUCUGUUGACUUGUUUAAGUGACGUUUGGUGGACCGAAGGGAGACAAAARAAAACAUAUAGUUGAAAGAGGUGGGUGUUUACUUACGAUGGUCAUGCAAACAGGACGUGUUGCUUUUGGAACGUCUUUAUGAUUCAAAUGUAGUUGGAAAUUAAAGGAAGUGGUCAUCAUAACCAUCCCUUCAUAAACAAUGCUUACCUUAAGUUACCAUCCAACCACAAGGUCCCCAAAAAGAGAAUCCCAUUCACAAAUAGGAUGCCAUGAAAAAUGUUAAAGUAUUMAAAUAUACAUGUAAGAAAUCUAGAAGCCACUGUUGAAGAAUUCCCACAAUUCAUGCUUAUUCCAUCCUGAUUCCAGGAAUCUUCCAAAAGCAAAUGUAUUUCUGUCAAACUGGGAAUUUUGGUAAAGUUAUAGGAAUUUUACAACCCUCAAAAUAUUACAAAUGAGACCAAAAUGCAUUUACCACCAUGUAACAUUUAUUACAUCAUUACGGAGUUCAGCGCUGUGAACAACAUCUCUUCGCUUCAAUCUGUGUCAGCAGUUUCAAGAGCGAGG